CGAGUGAGAUAUGGAGCUGACGGUGGGCUUGACCCGCUGAGGAACCUCGCCCCACUCUCCAAGCAAGGUGUAGAGAACUACUACGGUGAGAAUCGUAAUUUAGCAACUGAAACGACACUGCCUUUCUACGUAUAUUAAUGACUUGGAUAAGCCAAAGAAAUUGUAGAGAGGAAUGGUUGGAACGAGCUAAUACCUUGGUGCAAGGCCAAAUAAAAACGAUGAGGUACUUGGAGCGAGUUUUAGGUUGACCGCUUAGUCUGAUGCUCCAACUAUUACUUGGUGACGAGUUUAGUACAGAAGGGCGGGUAUAUAUCUCAAGCG
rnacentral:RNase_P_RNA from 3 species